rnacentral:rRNA from 1 species
UACGGGGGGGGCAAGCGUUGUUCGGAAUUACUGGGCGUAAAGGGCUCGUAGGCGGCCAACUAAGUCAGACGUGAAAUCCCUCGGCUUAACCGGGGAACUGCAUCUGAUACUGGAUGGCUUGAGUUCGGGAGAGGGAUGCGGAAUUCCAGGUGUAGCGGUGAAAUGCGUAGAUAUCUGGAGGAACACCGGUGGCGAAGGCGGGAUCCUGGGCCAGUACUGACGCUGAGGAGCGAAAGCGUGGGGAGCAAACAGG